rnacentral:rRNA from 1 species
UACGUAGGGGGCAAGCGUUGUCCGGAAUUAUUGGGCGUAAAGAGCGUGUAGGCGGCCAGAUAAGUCCGCUGUGAAAACUCGAGGCUCAACCUCGAGACGCCGGUGGAAACUGCAAAGCUAGAGUCCGGAAGAGGAGAGUGGAAUUCCUGGUGUAGCGGUGAAAUGCGCAGAUAUCAGGAGGAACACCGGUGGCGAAGGCGGGUCUCUGGGCCGUAACUGACGCUGAGGAGCGAAAGCAUGGGGAGCGAACAGG